rnacentral:rRNA from 1 species
CCUACGGGAGGCAGCAGUGGGGAAUAUUGGACAAUGGGCGAAAGCCUGAUCCAGCCAUGCCGCGUGUGUGAAGAAGGCCUUCGGGUUGUAAAGCACUUUCAGUGGGGAAGAAAGCCUUGGGGCUAAUACCCUCGAGGAAGGACAUCACCCACAGAAGAAGCACCGGCUAACUCCGUGCCAGCAGCCGCGGUAAUACGGAGGGUGCGAGCGUUAAUCGGAAUUACUGGGCGUAAAGCGCGCGUAGGCGGUCUGAUAAGCCGGUUGUGAAAGCCCCGGGCUCAACCUGGGAACGGCAUCCGGAACGGGCAGGCUAGAGUGCAGGAGAGGAAGGUAGAAUUCCCGGUGUAGCGGUGAAAUGCGUAGAGAUCGGGAGGAAUACCAGUGGCGAAGGCGGCCUUCUGGACUGACACUGACGCUGAGGUGCGAAAGCGUGGGUAGCAAACAGGAUUAGAUACCCUUGUAGUC